rnacentral:misc_RNA from 1 species
UCCUGGUUAACCCAGGCAGUCUCAUUAGAGUUCCCACCAUUACGUGUUGGCAACUAAUGAUAAGGGUUGCGCUCGUUGCGGGACUUAACCCAACACCUCACGGCACGAGCUGACGACAGCCAUGCAGCACCUGUUCAGAGGCCCCGAAGGGAAAUCACAUUUCUGCGAUCGUCCUCUGUAUGUCAAGUCUGGGUAAGGUUCUUCGCGUUGCAUCGAAUUAAACCACAUGCUCCACUGCUUGUGCGGGUCCCCGUCAAUUCUUUUGAGUUUCACCCUUGCGAGCGUACUCCUCAGGCGGUAUACUUAUCGCGUUAGCUUCGACACAGUCGGGGUUGAGUCCAACUACAUCAAGUAUACAUCGUUUACGGCUAGGACUAC